rnacentral:rRNA from 1 species
UACGUAGGGUGCAAGCGUUAAUCGGAAUUACUGGGCGUAAAGCGUGCGCAGGCGGUUCGUUGUGUCGGCGGUGAAAGCCCCGGGCUCAACCUGGGAAUGGCCGUUGAAACUGGCGAACUGGAGUGUGGCAGAGGGGGGGUGGAAUUCCGCGUGUAGCAGUGAAAUGCGUAGAGAUGCGGAGGAACACCGAUGGCGAAGGCAGCCCCCUGGGCUAACACUGACGCUCAGGCACGAAAGCGUGGGGAGCAAACAGG